rnacentral:rRNA from 1 species
AUGUCAGCAGCCGCGGUAAUACGAAUGGGGCAAGCGUUGUUCGGAUUUACUGGGCGUAAAGCGGGCGUAGGCGGCCGGCUAAGUCGGAUGUGAAAUCCCGGGGCUCAACUCCGGAACUGCAUUCGAUACUGGUCGGCUAGAGUUCGAGAGGGGGAUGCGGAAUUCCGCGUGUAGCAGUGAAAUGCGUAGAUAUGCGGAGGAACACCUGAGGCGAAGGCGGCAUCCUGGAUCGACACUGACGCUGAGGCCCGAAAGCGUGUGGAGCAAACAGGAUUAGAUACCCUGGUAGUCCACGCCCGAAACGAUGUCUACUAGCCGUUGCGGGUAUCGACCCCUGCAGGGGCGCAGCUAACGCUAUAAGUAGACCACCUGGGGAGUACGGCCGCAAGGUUAAAACUCAAAGGAAUUGACGGGG